rnacentral:rRNA from 1 species
GGAAGUAAAAGUCGUAACAAGGUUUCCGUAGGUGAACCUGCGGAAGGAUCAUUCAUAAUCAAGUGUUUUUAUGGCACUUUCAAAAAUCCAUAUCCACCUUGUGUGCAAUGUCAUCUCUCUGGGGGCCGCCGGCUGUCAAAAGCCGUGUGGUCACCUUUGGGAUUUAUAUCUACUCAGAACUUUAGUGAUUUUGUCUGAAACAUAUUAUGAAUACUUAAUUCAAAAUACAACUUUCAACAACGGAUCUCUUGGCUCUCGCAUCGAUGAAGAACGCAGCGAAAUGCGAUACGUAAUGUGAAUUGCAGAAUUCAGUGAAUCAUCGAAUCUUUGAACGCAUAUUGCGCUCUCUGGUAUUCCGGAGAGCAUGCUUGUUUGAGUAUCAGUAAACACCUCAACUUCCAUAUCUUUUUUGAAAUGGGAGUUGGACUUGAGUGAUCCCAACGCUUUUCCUCACCGAAAAGUGGCGGGUUACUUGAAAUGCAGGUGCAGCUGGACUUUUCUCUGAGCUAUAAGCAUAUCUAUUUAGUCUGCCUAAAAAACAGAUUAUUACCUUUGCUGCAGCUAACAUAAAGGAGAUUAGUUCUUGUGCUGACUGAUGCAGGAUUCACAGAGACGGCUUUGGCUGGCUUUGUAAACUCGAUCUCAAAUCAAGUAAGACUACCCGCUGAACUUAAGCAUAUCAAUAAGCGGAGGA